rnacentral:tRNA from 1 species
GUCCCGAUAGUAUAAAUAAUUACCAUGACCUUGUAAGUCAAAAAUGAAGACAUGACUUCUCAGGACA